rnacentral:tRNA from 1 species
GGGCCUGUAGCUCAGCUGGCAGAGCAGUUGACUCUUAAUCAAUUGGUCGGGAGUUCGAAUCCCCCCAGGCCCA